rnacentral:lncRNA from 1 species
AAAAGGUCUUGUUCGAUCCGGAGAUGAGAACAUCUGUGAAGCUGGCUAUGGCCCGGGGGAACCUUAAUGUGUAGGAACUGGUUUGGAGUAGGUGAGUUUUAUGCCAUGGCCGUUGGCAAACGCUAUAUCUGUCCCGUUUCUCCUUUACUCAUCCAAAACGAAGCAGUGGAAAAUAAGGAACUUUUCGAUCAGAUCAUUCACUUAAGGAGUUUAUGGAAACUUGGAUACCGGGGCAGUAUCACUAGAAAGUUGGCAAUGUACAAUCCAACCCUCGGUUCCACCAAGUUUGUCAAGCCUUUCAAACGGGAUUUUUGCCCGAG